rnacentral:rRNA from 1 species
CUGAUCAGCAUGGCGCGUGAGUGAGGAGGCCUUCGGGUUGUAAAGCUCUUUCGGCCGGGACGAAAAUGUUCGGUCCAAGAAAAGUUGCGGCUGACUGGUGCGUGAGACAAGGCCCGUCUUACUACGUGCCCGCGGCCGCGGCAAUACGUACGGCUGUAGCGUUAAUCGGAAUUACUGGGCGUGACGGGAGCGCAAGCGGAUUGCUCAGUCUGAGGUGGACUCCUCAAACUUAACUUGGGAAUUGCUUUUGAGACUGUUGGACUUGAGUGUGUUAGAGGGAAAUGAAAUUCCAUGUGUAAGAAGUGAAUGCGUCGAGAUGAACAGGAAUACCGAUGGCGACUCUCUAUUCCUGAACCGUGGCUGACGCUCA